UGUUAAAUAUUUUAUCUAUUUUUAUUGUUAAAAAUUGAAAUGGUUGAUGAAAUAAUAAAACAGGUACACAAACCUCAUACUGAUGUACAAGGAUCAAUUUUUACGAGUAAAAAUGGAUGAAACUUUAACA
rnacentral:pre_miRNA from 1 species